ACUCCUACGGGAGGCAGCAGUGGGGAAUAUUGCACAAUGGGGAAACCCUGAUGCAGCCAUGCCGCGUGUGUGAAGAAGGCCUUCGGUUGUAAAGCACUUUCAGUAGGGAGGAAGGUAGUGUAGUUAACACCUGCAUUAUUUGACGUUACCUACAGAAGAAGCACCGGCUAACUCCGUGCCAGCAGCCGCGGUAAUACGGAGGGGUGCGAGCGUUAAUCGGAAUUACUGGGCGUAAAGCGCAUGCAGGCGGCCUGUUAAGUCAGAUGUGAAAGCCCGGGGGCUUAACCUCGGAAUUGCAUUUGAAACUGGCAGGCUAGAGUCUUGUAGAGGGGGUAGAAUUUCAGGUGUAGCGGUGAAAUGCGUAGAGAUCUGAAGGAAUACCAGUGGCGAAGGCGGCCCCCUGGACAAAGACUGACGCUCAGAUGCGAAAGCGUGGGGAGCGAAACAGGAUUAGAUACCCUGGUAGGAUAGCG
rnacentral:rRNA from 1 species